GUGCCUGGUUUCUUUCUCCUUUUCCCUCAGCCUGCUCGCCUCCCUCCCCUCCCCGAGGCUCACGUGGCCGGGUCUCGCGGGCCCGCCCGCAGAGCCUGGGUCAGGGUGAAAAAUAGGACUUUGAUAAAUGCCUUCGCGGAAGACAGCGCUCGCCACACCAUCAAGUCUGAUUCAAUAAUACCCUUAGUGGAAUUUUAAUAUGUUACAAAGACUUUCUUACUCAGCGAGUGGUUGUGGUGAUGCAUGUUUUUACACCGUGGUCACAAGAGGGGAAACAAAAGCCCCUGUGGGCUGAAGUCAGGUCAUUUGAGUAUUGCUACUCUUCAUUUGUGAGGAUGGUGGCAGUUCACCCUCGGAGAUCAUCUAAUCCAUCAUGUACCAAAACAAGAAUCCCCUCUACAGUGCUGUCUGUGUGCCCCCUCCCAGUCCCCCCAACAAGGGGUGGUCUAGUCUGUCAGUCAAUCACCAAGCAUUUAUUAUUAUAUAUAAAUAUUUAAUAAUAAAUAUAAAUGUAUUAUAUAUUA